rnacentral:lncRNA from 1 species
UUUUUUUUUAAAACUUGUUUCUUUAAUUAGCAUGUUUUUGUUUGUUGUUUGAUUGUGUUCAAAUGUAGUUUUGCCUCUAUUUCCUCUUUAGGCCCAAGAUUUUUUAAGUCCUUAUGACUUUGUAAGUUAACAGUUGUGGGUUUUUAGUUUUUAAUUUUUAAUUGAGGCUCUGUUAAAGCAGAAGCCCAAGGGGAAAAGGGAUUAGCCCAGGUUUUGCAGACCCAUGUCAGUUUAACCUUGGGUCAAUUUGACCCGUUUGGUUCCUGAAGUAAAAACAGGGGGUUCAAGGGUUAAUUUAGAAAUUUUAGGUUGAGGAAUCUUGUAUAACUGACGGGGAAAGCUUCCUAGAAGGUGGGAUUGGGACUGACUUAGAAAACUGAUUUUAAAUUAAGGACAUAGGAGCAAAAAUGAAAAUUCAAAAAGGAGUAAAAGGGCAAAAACUGAACUUAUUUCUGUUGCCCUAAAACUUCACUAUAAAGGCUUGUUUCUUCACCUCCAAGUGAGAAUUUCAGAGAUAAAAAAAUACUAAUAAAGAGAAACGGCUGGUUUUUUGGAAAACUUUGAAGAAACACUGAAAUUCCUGCAUUUCUUUGGUCCAAAUUGGUUUAAAUUUGCCUUAAAAUUUCAUAGUUAAUUAAAGUGUUUUGAGACUCCAAAGGUUGUUGUUCAUUUGGGUUCUCUACUGGUUUGAAGAAGCUGGGCUUUGUUUGGUAUUGCUGGGUGAAAAAAUAUUUUGAGUUUGGAGUUAAAAGUUUUGGUUUGAGCUGCUGAUUUUGCCACUGUUACAUUGAUGUUCUGCUGCUGCUGCUAAUUCCUCAUUCUCUUUAUUUUUCUCUUUAAUUUCCAGGUAUUUCUUCAAACUAUGAACAACAUGUUGAAGGUUGAAUUUGUGAUUUCAAAUGUGAAACAUGACUGAAUACAAGCUUCUCUGAAUUUUACUGUCCUUGUUGCUUCCCUUUUUAGUAAUUUGUAAUAGUUUGAUCUUAUGCAUGUUGUAUUAACUCUCUCAUGUUAUAGAUAUGGUAUAAGCUAAGCUACUGUUGUUUCUUUCUAUUUGAUUCUGUUGGGAGUAUAAUGUAGUUCUUGGAUUCAAGUUGGUUGCACUUUUGAGCUUAUGAGGUGUUUUGCUACUGUCUUGCAUUAGAGAACAAUUUAAUGAAAGUUUAAAUUCCAUAGUCUUUAAGUUAAGUGAAAAACUCUCUUUGUUGGGAAUUAAUUGUUUUGGUUCAAGUUGUUAUUCAUUUAAAGGUUACAAUUAAUUGACGUGUGGUUUUACCUCUUUUAUAUGUUUGAUUUGGUACGUGAAUGAGUUCAAUAAUAUGUUGAGGUAUUUUGAUUCCAGUUGAAUGCUUAGAAAAUUAUGUUAAAAGUCAUUGUGUAGGAACUAUGAGAUUAAUUUCUGUUGUUGCAACGAGCAGUACUUCAAUUUUUGUUUCUCUGCAUAAUUGCAUUUUAGCUAGACAAUGCACUUUAUGAUUUCCUUGCUUGAAUUGUUCAAAUAUAGUUGGGUGUGGACCAUGGAAAGUCGAUUUAGAGCCCAAGGCUCUUGAGGAUCAAGCUUAUCUUUUUUCAUGGGGAUUUGAACUUCAGUCUCAUGCCUUUACAUUGAUUUCAAGAUCUGUUUUGGGCUUAAACUUGAGGCCUCUCAAAAUGGGAGAUUUGAGGUCUGCGGUUUCUUUGGGCUUAUAUUUGAGCCCAAGUCCUUUCUUAUUUGGAUGCGGCUGCAUUGCAAAAGCAAUUGGGCUUGCUGUCAGAUUGAAUUUUAAAAUAACCAAAGUGGUGAUUGUUUUUUUAACACAAAGCCUUAUUUUUAUUAGUUUUAGUUUGAACAUUAGCCUAAAAAGUAAUUCUAAUUUCUUUAAACCUUCCUUAAUUAGUUAGAUUCUUAAAAUUAGUUUGAGGUGUGCCAUAUUAGCCAAACGUACAAUUUAUGGCCCUCAAAAAUUAAACUUAGAAAGCCC